CUUUUCGGUUUUUUAUCCAAAGUUUGAUUCUUUAUGUUAGUUAACUUUUCGAUCUUAUGUUUUCAUACUAUCAUUCUAUUUUCUUUUUCUUAUCAACACAUUGUAAUGCUAUACUCUAAUUGAUGGUGACUUCAUACGGGGCCCUCCCUAUGGCCUAGUAAUCUUUCUCAACUCAAGUCUUAAGUUCGGUGUCUUUCAUCAUUGAUUGAACAUCUGCGCUAAUAUGUUAAAAAAGAAAAAGAAAUAGGGAGCUAAUGGCUUGAAUGGAACAAUAACAAUGGAUUAGUAAGCCUACAGAGCGGACAAAGAUCAGAGCAUGUUCCAAUAUAAAGAUUCGUGCUGUCAAGUUUGUAGUUUUUCUUGCAUCUCUUUGAACAUGAGGAUUCCCGCCAUCAAGUUUGUAAAUUUCUUACCUUCCUCCAAGGCUCAAUCAUAAUAGAUGUAUUCCUAACACCCUCACUCCCUCAAUCCAACCCAACCCAAUCCAAUCCACCCACAUUGGGUCUAGAUCUAGGUCAAGGUUCUAAAUUUUAAUGGUGUUUUAAUUAAAUGAAAGAAUGAUACCAACAUUUACCUUGAAUUUGAUUGUGCUUUUAAGAGUUUCUCUUCUUUGUCAUAGUUAUUUUUCUCAACGUAAAAUUGAAAUUUCAAAUUCUAAUGGUUUAACUCGUGAACUAAAAUACUGAGAUAAAAUCUCAAAUCAUCUAUUUUCACAAAAUCCAUCUUAUUUUCAUUCAAUUGGUCCAAGUCAACAAUUUCAUAAGCCUAUUAUGCUUUUCCACAAACAUACGUUCUACUUCAUUUUAGUCUGCACAAAAAUUACCAUUAGGAGUUCAAAAUAAGGCCGGCCCUUAGAAUUUUAAGGCUCAAGGCUACAAAAUAUGAUGAGGCUCCUAAAUAUAAUUUGUUUUUACAAAUGUAGCAAUCUUUUUAACAUCAAUCAUGUUGAAUCAACAAACUGUUCUCAUGAUGAGGAACAUUAUACUAUGACAUUCAAAUACUGUUCGAUUCGUCUGAGAAUCAAUUUUUGUAUUCAAGAAAUAUAACUAAAUCCUUUUUAAAUCCAAUGAGGUAAGUGGUAACUACCAUUUAUUGCUUAAAAUUUUCUAUACUUAAAAAUAAUAAUAAAAUCAAAUCAAAGGCAGCAAUGAAAUCUAUAGAACAAAAUUUAAUGUUGAAUAAUUAAAAAUACAAUCAUAAUUGGGUAUUGGGACAACCUUCUGCUUCAUUUGCAAUACUACAUCUUCAAAAAAGUAUUUAAUGCAAGAAAAUUCUAUAAAUUUUCUGUACAUAAACAGUCAUUUUGACUUUUUUUUUUCCUUAAUUGAUUAGGGAAAAUUGUAGCAAAGGUACCAAACCUUUCAUUUAUUAGCAAACUUAACUCAAACCUUUCGUUUAUACCACCGGAGGUUUCAAACCUUUAAAAUAUUCACAGAUCCAAUCCAAAAUGAUGGUUUCCAUCUAUUUGACCAUCAAAACCAUUAGUUCACCCCAAUAAUGAAAAAAAAAAAAAUUUCCUCCAAAUAAGGAUAAUUUUGACAUUUAACCCUAUUUGAAGGACAUUUUUAGCUCCUAAAAAUGAAAAAAUGGAUCGUUAGAAGCACUUUUCAGCCACCAUUUUUGACUGAGUGUAGAUGUGGGGCCUAAAUUUGAAAAAACGGUCCAAAAAUUUCUACUCUCGCCCCUAAAAAUAUGGCUCAAGCAGUUAAUAAGUCCUUGUCCAUCUUCUUCAACAAACCCUCAACCCCCAACCCCCCAAAUCAUAUCAGAAGAUUCAUCCCUACCCCUAACCUCACAAAAUCAUAGGGAUGGAUCCAGGAUUGGAUCCAAGACCGGGCUACAAAAUUUCAAACGGGGCUACUAUGCGUAAAAAAAAAAAUUACACAUAAAAAACUGAUUUUUUAACAAAAAAUAAAAAAUACCUUAAAAAAAAGUUCUUGGGCCUGAGGGAGGGGGGGCUACAGCCUAGCCCAGCCCAGCCCCCCCCCCUCCUCAAUCUGUCUCUGUCAGAUCAGAAGAUUCACCGUCAACUACCAUUGACCACGAUACAAUUCCUCCGACGGUGGUUGUUGUAUAUGUGUGUGUGUGUGUGUAAAGGUGCAAUUCCUCCCGCAUGCAAUUUCUUAGUUUCCUCAUUUUUCACCUUUUCUACAAAAAUCACAUCUUCAUAGUUCUCGAUGGUUAGUAAUUCCUUAAAAAUGAAAGAUGUGUUGCGAGGGUUUCACUUGGAGCAUAUUGUAAAAGGAUAUUAAUGUGUCAUUGGAAUUAAUUUGUCAGGAUAAUUUACCAUUUGUGUUUGAAUUUUUGAAGAGGGUUGGGGUUCAAAUUAAGUUGGGUGUUUGGAUUUUAUUGGGUGUAUACAUAUCAAUGAAAUCUUACCUCUCUGAGAAGCUCUUGAAUCCAUUUCUAAUGUAUUUUGUGGUGGUCGGCGAUGAUUUUAGUGGGCAUAUAAGUAUAUUGUGGGUUGGAGAGGGUUGUUAUUCCCUAUUUCUUUAACUUGAUUUAAUUUACAGAUUAUCAAUCUUCCUUUGCGGUUGUACCGGUGGCCUUGCCGGUGUUGGAUAGCAGUGGUGGUUGUUAGAUUUUGGCGGGUGGGAAACGAUGUGGUGUGGGGGUGAAGAUGACAACCUUUUUUCCCCUUUUCUAUUUCAUUUUUUUAUUAUUUUAGGUUUUAGAAUUGUAUAGUUACUAUUUUGCCCUUAUUAUAUUUGAUUAAAUUCUACUAGUUUGGUCAACUAACUGUCAAAUUAAUGGUUUUCAUCCAUUUGGACUGGAUCUGCAAAUAUUUUAAUGGUUUGGUACCUCUGCUGACACAACUGAAAGGUUUGGGUCAAGUCUGCUAACAAAUGAAAGGUUUAAUACCUUGGCU
rnacentral:lncRNA from 1 species